rnacentral:rRNA from 3 species
UGGACCUCAGAUCAGGCAAGAUUACCCGCUGAGUUUAAGCAUAUCACUAAGCGGAGGAAAAGAAACU